UACGAGGGGGGCAAAUGUUGUUCGGAAUCACUGGGCGUAAAGGGAGCGUAGGCGGGUUCUUAAGUUAGGUGUUUAAUCCCGGGGCCCAACCCCGGACCGGCCACUUAAAACUGGGAAUCUUGAAUAGUGGAGAGGUCGGUGGAAUUGGAGGUGUAGCGGUGGAAUGCGUAGAGAUCUCCAAGAACACCAGUUGCGAAGGCGGCCGACUGGACACAUAUUGACGCUGAGGCUCGAAAGCAUGGGGAGCAAACAGG
rnacentral:rRNA from 1 species